rnacentral:rRNA from 1 species
CAGUAGCCACGGUAAUACGUAGGGUCCGAGCGUUGUCCGGAAUUAUUGGGCGUAAAGAGCUCGUAGGCGGUCUGUCGCGUCUGCCGUGAAAUCCUCAGGCUCAACCUGAGGCGUGCGGUGGGUACGGGCAGGCUAGAGUGCGGUAGGGGAGAAUGGAACUCCUGGUGUAGCGGUGGAAUGCGCAGAUAUCAGGAAGAACACCGAUGGCGAAGGCAGUUCUCUGGGCCGUAACUGACGCUGAGGAGCGAAAGCGUGGGGAGCGAACAGGAUUAGAUACCCUGUAGUCCCUGUCUCUUAUACA